UAGGGAAUAUUAGUAAUGGGCGAAAGCCUGAACUAGCAACACCGCGUGUGCGAAGAAGGCCUUCGGGUUGUAAAGCACUUUUUGAGAGGAUGAGGAAGGACGGUACUCUCAGAAUAAGUCUCGGCUAACUACGUGCCAGCAGCCGCGGUAACACGUAGGAGGCACACGUUCUCCGGAUUUCCUGGGCGUAAAGAGCGUGUAGGUGGUUUGGUAAGUAGAGCGUGAAAGCUCCUGGCUCAACUGGGAGAGGUCGUUCGAAACUGCCGGACUAGAGGAUGGUAGAGGGAGGUGGAAUUCCGGGUGUAGCGGUGGAAUGCGCAGAUAUCCGGAGGAACACCAGUGGCGAAAGCGGCCUCCUGGACCACUCCUGACACUCAGACGCGAAAGCUAGGGUAGCAAACG
rnacentral:rRNA from 1 species